rnacentral:misc_RNA from 1 species
GGGCGCAGAGAGUGGUUGUCGCGAAAUUGUUGAGGAAAUCUGGUCGGAUCCUUCCCUGGGUUCGGUUUUGGAGAAGUUACAAUUUUGCAGUGUUCGUUUGGGUGAGUGGGGAGAUAAUCUGCGGAAACUUUAUAAGCAGGAGAUUGACGAUUGUAAGCGGGUAAUGGGUCUCUUAAGGGGUAAGAGAGAUGUUCAUAGUCGAGAAAGCUUUAGGAUGGCCAAAAGCAAAUUUCUAGAUCUUCUUCGCAGGAAAGAAUCUUAUUGGCGUCAGAGAGCAAAGGAAUUUUGGUUGAAGGAGGGCGAUCAAAAUACAAAAUUUUUUCAUCGCAAAGCUACUAUCAGACAAAGGAAAAACAGAAUUGAUCGCUUGAAGGACGAUAAUGGGAACUGGUGUGAUUGGUCGACAGGGUUGGAAGCAAUGAUUACGGAUUAUUUCAAAAAUAUUUUCACUUCUAAUGCUGGUUCGUCUAAUGAUAUUAUUGAUCUUGUGCCGGCUCUAGUCACAGAUGACCAGAAUGUUGAUUUGAUGAAGCUGUACACCGUAGAUGAAGUCAGGGAGGCUGUUUUCAGUAUGCAAGCCGAUAAGUCUCCUGGGUUGGAUGGUUUCAACCCCGGUUUUUAUCAGAAGUAUUGGACUAUCAUUGGGGAUCAGGUAUCUAAUUUUUGCAUCUCUUGUAUCAGAGAUAGAGAAUUUCCUAGCGAGCUGAAUGAUACGGCUAUUGUCCUAAUCCCUAAGAAGGAGCACGCAGAACGUAUGUCGGAUCUACGCCCCAUAGCCCUUUGCAAAGUUCUCUAUAAAAUAAUCUCCAAGAUGAUUGCUAAUCGGCUUAAGGUAGUUCUUCCUUCUAUCAUUUCACCCUCUCAGUGUGCCUUCGUACCUGGUAGAAAUAUCCAGGAAAAUUCUGUAGUUGCUUAUGAAACUUUACACUACAUGAGAGGUAAAAGGCGUGGACGAGAUGGUUAUGCAGCUUUAAAAAUUGAUGUUAGCAAGGCCUUCGACAGAUUGGAAUGGAAAUUUCUGACGGCUAUGUUGAUGAAGCUUGGCUUUGACACAAAUUUUGUAGAGUUCUUAUAUCUCUGCGUUUCUUCUGUCUCUUUUAAGGUUCUUCAUCAAGGGAUGCUUACGGAUGCUAUUUUGCCGGGAAGGGGAUUGCGGCAAGGAGAUCCCCUCUCACCUUAUCUUUUUAUCCUUUGUAUGGAAGGUUUGUCUCGGUUAAUUCACAACAGAGUUGCUAUUGGUCGUCUGAAUGGUGUAGCUGUUUGUGGAGGGGCCCCGGUUGUAUCACACUUAUUUUUUGCAGACGACAGCCUUUUCUUUUUUAAGGCAACUCAGGAACAAGCUUUAGCCUUGAGAGAGGUGCUUCAUGUUUAUGCCAUUGCAGCAGGCCAGCUUAUAAAUUUUGACAAAUCUCUGAUUUGUUUUAGUGCUAAUGUGCAUGAUGAAACUCGCCAGAAUAUUUGCAAUAUCUUGCAGGUCUGUGAACAAGAUAAUCUGGGCUCUUAUUUGGGUCUUCCCACAGCAAUUGGUCGAAACAAACAGGAAGUCUUCCAAUUUGUGAAAGACAAAUUCUGGAGGCGCAUCAACUCUUGGAAGAACAAAGCCUUGUCUAGAGCUGGCAAGGAAAUUCUUGUAAAGACGGUCUUACAAUCUCUGCCAAACUAUGUCAUGAACCUUUUCCUUCUCCCAAAAGGUAUAUGUGAUGAUUUGCAACAAAUUAUGGCAAGAUUUUGGUGGGGGACAAAGGUUGAUGGAAGUAGAAGUUUACAUUGGUUGGGUUGGGAUCGCCUUGCUUGCCAUAAACAUUUUGGCGGUUUAAGUUUCAAGAAGAUCAGACAAUUUAAUAUCGCUAUGCUUGGUAGGAUGGGUUGGCACUUGUAUAUGAACUCUAAUUCUUUGGCUAGCCGAAUACUUAAAGCUAAAUAUUAUCCUAAUGUUUCUUUCUUAGAGGCUCCUAUUGGGAAUAAUCCCAGCUAUGUUUGGAGAAGCAUUAGAGAAUCUCAAAGUUUAAUUCGUGAUGGUCUUCUAUGGCGUGUUGGGGAUGGCAAUGAUAUUGCUAUCUGGCUAGAUAGUUGGCUGCCAGAUGUUGCCUUCCCUAUGGUUACUACAACCUUUGACUUUAAUUUUGGGGUCUAUAUGGUUUCGGAUUUGAUCACUGAUGGUGCUUGGAACAUUGAUUUGGUGAAUCGUGUGUUUAAUGAAAGGGAUCGAAAACUUAUUCUGUCAAUCCCUUUAAGAAGGAGCUCUAGCAUUGACUUGCAAUUUUGGAAACAUGAUAAGAGAGGCAGUUAUUCAGUUAGCAGUGCUUACAAGUUACAGACUCAGGAAUCUGACACAGCUGUUGGCAAUAAAAAAUUCUGGAAGAAGCUUUGGUCUAUCCCAGCGGCACCAAAAAUCAGAAACUUUCUUUGGCGUGCUGUAUCUGGUUCUCUACCGACCAGAUCAAGACUUUGUUCUCGGCAUGUUCCGACCACAGAGGUUUGUCCAUUAUGUAAUGUUGAUUGUGAAUCUGUAAAGCAUGUUUUAGUUGAAUGCUCCUUUGCAAGGCAUGUUUGGCUUGCCUCUCAUCUUGGUUGGUUUUCUCCUUCAACCCAUUCCUUUCAAGACUGGUUAAUGCGAGCUUUAGCUCUCUUCAAUCCAAAUGACUCUGCAACUUUGGCGUACCUAUGUUGGUCUAUAUGGGAGGAACGCAAUUCAGUGGUUUGGAAAUCUGCUCAGCCUGCUGCUAACUCCUGCAGAUUGAGAGGCCUUCGUCUCAAACGAGAAUGGGACGAUGCUCUGGUUAGUAUACGGGCUGCUAUUCCACCGACUGCAGAUUUGCCUACACCACAGGAAUGGAAAAAGCCAGGCCCUAACUGGGUGAAGCUCAAUGUUGAUAUCGCUACCAAUGUCAAUUCUGGAUGGACAGGAAUCGGAAUGGUAGUACGUAAUGAAAUGGGCAGUUUUGUGGCUUGUAAGAUUUCGCGCAUGGUAGGAUUAUUCUCACCUACAAUUGCUGAAAUUAUGGGAGUACGAGAAGCUUUGAGCUGGAUAAAGGACAACAAUUGGCAAAACGUUAUUGUGGAAUCUGAUAAUUUGCAGGUUGUUAAUGUUCUCAAUUCCAUGAAUGUGGAAAAUUUCUCUAUGAUGGGUGGUAUUGUUUCUGAUUGUAGAUCUCUUAUUAAUGAGAUUAGUUGUGAGAUUCUGUUUUCUCAUGUUUUCCGUUCGGCGAACGGGGUGGCUCAUGCCCUUGCUCAAGCUACUCGUUCCUUUCCGAAUGCUAUGGAGUGGACUCUUUCUCCUCCUGAAUUUGUAUCUCUUCUUUUGCUUUAAUGAAAUCCCAUUUAUUAUCAAAAAAAAAAUAAUAUGCAAAUGUAACAAGACGUAACAAGUCCUUAAAAUUCUUAAAAAUAUAUAUAUAUUAGAAAUGGAAGAACAAGACGAAUCUUAACUUCACUCUUGCUCGUUGGUAGCG